rnacentral:rRNA from 1 species
GUAUUAGUUAAGUUCUUGAAACCCAAAGGAUUUGGCGGUAUUUUAGUCCUUUCAGAGGAGCCUGUCCUGUAAUCGACAUUCCACGAUAGGUUUUACUUAUUCUUGUGUUCAGUUUGUAUACCUCCGUCAUAAGGGUAUUUUAUCAGAGUAAAUGCCCACUAAUAUUUAAUAUUAAUAUGUCAGGUCAAGGUGCAGCUUAUGAAUAAGGUGAGAUGGGCUACAAUAGACUUAUUUAAACGGAUUUCUUUAUUUAUAUUAGAAUGAAGGCGGAUUUGAAAGUAAAAUAAAUAUUUAGUUUUUUUGAACUUGGCUCUAAAUUAUGCACACAUCG